UUCCUGGUGGUUCAGUGGCUAACACUGCGCUCCCAAUGCAGGGGGUCCAGGUUCGAUCUCUGGUUAGGGAA
rnacentral:tRNA from 1 species